UACGUAGGGUGCAAGCGUUGUCCGGAAUUAUUGGGCGUAAAGAGCUCGUAGGCGGUUUGUCGCGUCUGCUGUGAAAACCCGAGGCUCAACCUCGGGCCUGCAGUGGGUACGGGCAGACUAGAGUGCGGUAGGGGAGAUUGGAAUUCCUGGUGUAGCGGUGGAAUGCACAGAUAUCAGGAGGAACACCGGUGGCGAAGGCGGGUCUCUGGGCCGAUACUGACGCUGAGGAGCGAAAGCGUGGGGAGCGAACAGG
rnacentral:rRNA from 1 species